GUAGGUAUAGUUUAACAAAAACGCUGGAUUGUGAUUCCAGAGAUGAAGGUUAGACCCCCUUUGCCUACC
rnacentral:tRNA from 1 species